GGCGGGCAUGGUGGCACACGCCUUUAAUCCCAGCACUUGGGAGGCAGAGGCAGGUGGAUUUCUGAAUUCGAAGCCAGCCUGGUCAACAGAGUGAGUUCCAGGACAGCCUGGGCUUCAAAGAGAAACCCUGUCUCAAAAACAAAAAAAGAAACCCUGUCUCAAAAAAAACAAAAGAUUUCUCUGUGUAGCCCGGGAUGUCCUAGAACUUGCUCUGUAGAUCAGACUGACCUUGAAUUCAGAGCUCUACCUGC
rnacentral:lncRNA from 1 species